CCUCAGAUCAGACGAGACUACCCGCUGAAUUUAAGCAUAUCAGUAAGCGGAGGAAAAGAAACUAACAAGGAUUCCCUCAGUAACGGCGAGUGAAGCGGGAAGAGCCCAGCACCGAAUCCCCUGGUUCUGCGCCAGCGGGAGUUNUGGUGUNUGGGAGCCGGUCGGCGCCAUGUCCCUGUGCCCAAGUCCUUCUGAUNGGGGCCUUUCCCAUAGUGGGUGUCAGGCCUUUAGCGGCACGGACUAGGCGUCCUUCGAGCGUCCUCGGAGUNGGGUUGUUUGGNAAUGCNGCUCUNAGUGGGUGU
rnacentral:rRNA from 1 species